rnacentral:tRNA from 1 species
GGUGCUGUAGCUCAGUGGCAGAGCACUUGCCUCGUAUGUCUGAGGCACUGGGUUUGAUCCUCAGCACCA